CCCUUAGAGUUUGAUCCUGGCUCAGAUUGAACGCUGGCGGCAUGCCUUACACAUGCAAGUCGAACGGCAGCGCGGGGCAACCUGGCGGCGAGUGGCGAACGGGUGAGUAAUAUAUCGGAACGUACCCUGGAGUGGGGGAUAACGUAGCGAAAGUUACGCUAAUACCGCAUACGAUCUAAGGAUGAAAGUGGGGGAUCGCAAGACCUCAUGCUCCUGGAGCGGCCGAUAUCUGAUUAGCUAGUUGGUGGGGUAAAGGCCUACCAAGGCAUCGAUCAGUAGCUGGUCUGAGAGGACGACCAGCCACACUGGAACUGAGACACGGUCCAGACUCCUACGGGAGGCAGCAGUGGGGAAUUUUGGACAAUGGGCGCAAGCCUGAUCCAGCAAUGCCGCGUGAGUGAAGAAGGCCUUCGGGUUGUAAAGCUCUUUUGUCAGGGAAGAAACGGUGGAGGCUAAUAUCCUCUGCUAAUGACGGUACCUGAAGAAUAAGCACCGGCUAACUACGUGCCAGCAGCCGCGGUAAUACGUAGGGUGCAAGCGUUAAUCGGAAUUACUGGGCGUAAAGCGUGCGCAGGCGGUUUUGUAAGUCUGUCGUGAAAUCCCCGGGCUCAACCUGGGAAUUGCGAUGGAGACUGCAAGGCUAGAAUCUGGCAGAGGGGGGUAGAAUUCCACGUGUAGCAGUGAAAUGCGUAGAGAUGUGGAGGAACACCGAUGGC
rnacentral:rRNA from 1 species